GUGUACCACGCGUCCGCUCCGGUCCCGGCGCCGUCCGCACUCACCUGGUCGACUGCUCGCAGCGUGUUGGUAGUC
rnacentral:sRNA from 2 species